rnacentral:rRNA from 1 species
CUACGGGGGGGCAGCAGUGGGGAAUAUUGCACAAUGGGCGCAAGCCUGAUGCAGCAACGCCGCGUGAGGGAUGAAGGCCUUCGGGUUGUAAACCUCUUUUAGCAGGGAAGAAGCGAAAGUGACGGUACCUGCAGAAAAAGCACCGGCUAACUACGUGCCAGCAGCCGCGGUAAUACGUAGGGUGCAAGCGUUGUCCGGAAUUAUUGGGCGUAAAGAGCUCGUAGGCGGUUUGUCACGUCUGCUGUGAAAAUCCAAGGCUCAACCUUGGACUUGCAGUGGGUACGGGCAGGCUAGAGUGCGGUAGGGGAGAUGGGAAUUCCUGGUGUAGCGGUGGAAUGCGCAGAUAUCAGGAGGAACACCAAUGGCGAAGGCACAUCUCUGGGUCGUAACUGACGCUGAGGAGCGAAAGCGUGGGGAGCGAACAGGAUUAGAUACCCGCGUAGUC